CUCGUAGGUGGUUUGUCGCGUUGUUCGUGAAAACUCACAGCUUAACUGUGGGCGUGCGGGCGAUACGGGCAGACUAGAGUACUGCAGGGGAGACUGGAAUUCCUGGUGUAGCGGUGGAAUGCGCAGAUAUCAGGAGGAACACCGGUGGCGAAGGCGGGUCUCUGGGCAGUAGCUGACGCUGAGGAGCGAAAGCGUGGGGAGCAAACA
rnacentral:rRNA from 1 species